rnacentral:misc_RNA from 1 species
GAAAUGCGAUAAGUAAUGUGAAUUGCAGAAUUCAGUGAAUCAUCGAAUCUUUGAACGCACAUUGCGCCCGCCAGUAUUCUGGUGGGCAUGCCUGUCCGAGCGUCAUUUCAACCAUCAAGCCCCCGGGCUUGUGUUGGGGACCUGCGGCUGCCCGCAGGCCCUGAAAACCAGUGGCGGGCUCGCUGUCACACCGAGCGUAGUAGCAAUCACCUCGCUCAGGGCGUGCUGCGGGUUCCGGCCGUUAAACAGCCUUACAAAACCCAAGGUUGACCUCGGAUCGGGUAGGAAGACCCGCUGAACUUAAGC